rnacentral:SRP_RNA from 1 species
GCUGGGUAUGGUGGCGCACACCUGUAAUCCCAGCUACUCAGGAGGCUGAGGCAGGAGAAUUGCUUGAACCCAGGAGGCGGAGGUUGCAGUGAGCCAAGACUAUGCCACUGCACUCUAGCCUGGGUGACAGAGUGAGACUCUGUCUCAG